AUAGCUGGUUCUCCCCGAAAUAGCUUUAGGGCUAGCGUCGAAUUAAAAGCGCGAUGGAGGUAGAGCACUGAAUGUACAAUGGCCUCAUCUCGAGGUACUGAGUAUAAUCAAACUCCGAAUGCCAUACGCGUGUUGAUCGGCAGUCAGACUGUGGGUGAUAAGGUCCAUGGUCAAAAGGGAAACAGCCCAGACCGCCAGUUAAGGUCCCAAAAUCUAUGCUAAGUGGAAAAGGAUGUGGGGAUGCACAGACAACUAGGAGGUUGGCUUAGAAGCAGCCACCCUUGAAAGAGUGCGUAACAGCUCACUAGUCGAGUGACCCUGCGCCGAAAAUUUACCGGGGCUAAGCAUAGUACCGAAACUGCGGAUUUGUAUUUAAGAUACAAGUGGUAGGGGAGCGUUCCAUAUACGUAGAAGGUAUACCGUGAGGAGUACUGGAGAGUAUGGAAGUGAGAAUGCCGGUGUGAGUAGCGAGAUGUAGGUGAGAAUCCUACACACCGAUAGCCUAAGGAUUCCAGGGGAAGGCUCGUCCGCCCUGGGUAAGUCGGGACCUAAGAUGAGGCCGAAAGGCGUAGUCGAUGGACAACAGGUAGAGAUUCCUGUACCCGCGUGAUAAUGAUGGAGUGACGAAGACGGUUAACUUGAACCACUAAAUGGAUUGUGGUCGAAACGAGGUAGCAGAUGUGUAGGCAAAUCCGCACAUUAAUGUGAAGACGUGAUCGGUAAGUGAACGGCUCCGGCCAAGUAACGAAGCAAGUGAUACCAGCUUCCAAGAAAAGCUUCUAGUGUAAAUAUCAUGGCGGCCCGUACCAAAACCGACACAGGUAGGCAAGGAGAGAAUCCUGAGGUGAGCGAGAGAACUGUUGCCAAGGAACUCGGCAAAAUGACCCCGUAAGUUAGCGAGAAGGGGUGCUCGAAAGAGCCGCAGUGAAGAGGCCCAAGCGACUGUUUAUCUAAAACACAGCUCUCUGCAAAGUCGUAAGACGAAGUAUAGGGGGUGACGCCUGCCCGGUGCUGGAAGGUUAAGAGGAGAAGUCAUCUUCGGAGAAGCUUUGAAUUGAAGCCCCAGUAAACGGCGGCCGUAACUAUAACGGUCCUAAGGUAGCGAAAUUCCUUGUCGGGUAAGUUCCGACCCGCACGAAAGGCGUAAUGAUUUGGGCACUGUCUCAACGAGAGACUCGGUGAAAUUUUAGUACCUGUGAAGAUGCAGGUUACCCGCGACAGGACGGAAAGACCCCAUGGAG
rnacentral:rRNA from 1 species